AAGAGGAGUGGUUAGUGGUUAGGUUAGGUUUUGGGGGAGAGAAGAGAGGGGCGGGAUAACAGGGAUGAGAUUGGUAUGAGGGGUUUUAGAGGGGAGGAAGAUAGGGAAAGGGAGAAAUAAGGGAAUAGGGAAGGAGAGAAAUGGAAAAGGAAGAUAGUAGAGAAGAGAGGAAGAGAGGGUGAAAGGGAAAGGGAGAGAUAAGAGGAUAGGGAAGGAGAGAAAAGGAACAGAAAGGAAGUAGAGAAGGGAGGAAGAAAGGGGGAAAGAGAGAGAUAAGAGGAUAGGGAAGGAGAGAAAUGGAACAGAAAGGAAGAAAGUAGAAGGGAAAAAUAAAAAGAAGAUGGGAAGAAUAGGAAAAAUGGAAGAAUAAGAGUAGGUGAAGAAAGCGAAGAAAAGGAGAGGGAUGGAAGAAAGAAAGGGGAAAGGAGAGGGAAAGAAUGAAGGGAGAGGGAGGAAGAUGAGGUUGUGGUUAGUGAUUCAAAUGAGGAGAUAGAGAAAGGAUGGGAUAAGAAGAUGGAGGAGAUAGAAAGAAGACAGGAAGAGAGGGAGAAAGGGAAGAAGAGGGUGGAAGACACGGGAAAUUGGAAUAAGGAAAAAUAGGGAUAGAAGGCAGAAAGAGAAAAGGGAAAGAAAAAAAUGGGAAGGGAAAUUAUGGAGGGGAGAGAGAGAGAGAGAGAGAGAGAGAGAGAGAGAGAGAGAGAGAGAGAGAGAGAGAGAAAGAUAUGGAUGGAAGGAAGAAGGGAGAGAAGGACAAGGAGAUGGAGGAGAGGAGGAGGAGGGAGUGACCUUGAUCAGUGUAUCGCGUAACAUCAACAAGAAAAAUAUGUAACGUGUAAUCUAUUAAGUAUAAUAAAUAAUAAUAAUAAUAAUAAUAAUAGGUCGACAUUUUCUCUUCUUUCAUUUUUUUCUCCUUUUCUUUCAGUAUUUAUUUAUUUACAUCUUUCUUUACGUUUCCCUUCUUAUUCCUUCCUUCCUUCUACUCUUCCUUUCCACUUAAUUUUCUUUCUUUCUUCUCUUCCUCUCAUUCCACUUUUCUUUUUCCUUCCUCCUCCUCCUCUUCUUCCACUUAUUUCUUCCUUCCUUCUCUUCCUCUCCUUCCACUUUUCUAACCCUCAUUUCGCCUCAUCUUGGUGGUGGUGGUAAUGGUGGUGAAUAUACAAGAUCCCAAAGAACAAAGAAGGACUUAUAUGGUGCCUUCUGUGUGUGUGUGUGUGUGUGUGUGUGUGUGUGUGUGUGUGUGUAUGUGUGUGUGUGUGUGUGUGUGUGUGUGUGUGUGUGUGACAACAGCAAAGGACCCACAACGGAAUCUUGCAGAACCAAUCCCUUUCCCCUUCGCUAUUUCUUCUAUGUCUCCAGUUUCAUAAAUAGCUCGGAUUCUAAAUACUAGUGGACCCCCAAAUAGCUUCAGAUGCCCUGCGGAACUCCACCAUGAACCCACUAUGGAACCUUGCAGAAUCCCAUCCCUUUCGUCUUCGCUAUUUCUUUCAUUUCUCAAGUUUCAUAAAUAGCUCGGAUUCUAAAUACUAGUGGACCCCAAAAUAGCUUCAGAUGUCCUAAGGAACUCCACCAUGAACCCACUACGGAACCUUGCAGAAUCCCAUCCCUUUCCCCUUCGCUAUUUCUUUCAUUUCUCAAGUUUCAUAAAUAGCUCGGAUUCUAAAUACUAGUGUACCCCAAAAUAGCUUCAGAUGUCCUACGGAACUCCACCAUGGACCCACUACGGAACCUUGCAGAAUCCCAUCCCUUUCCCCUUCGCUAUUUCUUCCAUGUCUCGUUUCAUAAAUAGCUCGGAUUCUAAAUACUAGUGGACCCCCAAAUAGCUUCAGAUGUCCUGCGGAACUCCACCAUGAACCCACUACGGAACCUUGCAGAAUCCCAUCCCUUUCCCCUUCGCUAUUUCUUCCAUGUCUCGUUUCAUAAAUAGCUCGGAUUCUAAAUACUAGUGGACCCCAAAAUAGCUUCAGAUGCCCUGCGGAACUCCACCAUGAACCCACUACGGAACCUUGCAGAAUCCCAUCCCUUUCCCCUUCGCUAUUUCUUCCAUGUCUCGUUUCAUAAAUAGCUCGGAUUCUAAAUACUAGCGGACCCCAAAAUAGCUACAGAUGUCCUACGGAACUCUAACAUGUCCUCCCUUCCUUAUACGACACUCGACCUUGCAAACCGUAACUGGAUCAUGAAAACAAGUGAGGUUCGACAAGCACACAUUUAACAAGGCUUUCGCGGGAGCUGUGGGCAUUUCCAGGGGUAGUUCCAUGACCCUAGUGGUAGUUUGACCCUUCUUCUGUGCCAUGAACCUAUACAAACUUUCAUUAGAACCAGAUUGAUAUAUUUUUUGACCUUUGGAAAUGGUUAAUGUGAGGGAUGGAGGCGUCUGAGUGAGGAUAGCGACUUUUUUGGAGACCUCAUUUCUGCAUUCACAUCUGCCCUCAUCCAUCGCUCAUUAUGUCUACUCCGUACAUGGUGAUCUGUCUGCCCUGUGUGUGUGUGUGUGUGUGUGUGUGGAGGCUGUAACUAUCGUACAUCUGGUCUGCGUGGUGGGUAUGUGCGUGUGCGUGUGCGUGCGUGCGUGUGUUGCCCGCUUGUAUUCCAUUACUCAUGGGAACGUCUUGAGAGGAGCGCAGUGUUGUUCUCAAGAAGACAUGAAUCAUCUCGAGUGCCAACUGUGCUUCACGCCAUCAAAAUGCUACACGAACACACACACACACACACACACACACACGCAGCAUCCACCGCCUCUCUGGCCUCUCCGUCUGUCUAAUCUCACUUCUUCAUCUCGUUAUCACUUUUAUUUCUUUAUCUUCUCGUUUAUUUACUCAACUCAAGCCCGAGAGGUGGACUGAUGCCAAGGAAGCGUGGAGGAAGCAACAGGUGGGAUGGGAGGGGAGUUUUGAAGGCUAAAAUUACUCUCGUGAGGGAUUGCAAAGGUUAUUUAAGUUAGAAGACAAAGAGUAAAGAUAGGAUUUACUGAUACCUUGAGAGUAGACAAUAACUCUCGUAGUGUAGAAAAUAAGCAUAAAAGUAACUAGUGGGAUGGUUUGGUACUUUCGAAUGCUAAAAUUACUCUUGUGGGGCACUGCCAAGGUUAUUUAAGUUUGAAGACAGAGUAAAGAUAGAAGUUAUUGAUACCUUGAGACUAGAUACUUGUCCUAAAAUAACUCGUAGGGCAGAAAGUAAGCAUAAAAGUAACUGGUGGGAUGGAAGAGCAGAUUCGAAUGCAAAAAUUACACACUUGGGUAUUGCAAAGGUUAAGUUAAAGACAAAGAGUAAAGAUAGAAGUUAUUGAUACCUUGAGAGUAGACAUGUGCUGAAAUAACUCUCGUAGGGCAGAAAGUAAGCAUGAAAGUAACUGGUUGGAUAGGAGAGAAGAUAGAUUCGGAUGCAAAAAUUUCACUCUUGGGUAUUGCGACAUAUGCUAAAAUUACUCUCGUGGGGCCCUGCAGAAGGUUACAUUAGCAAGAAUACAAAGAAACAAUAUAUAUGAAUCAACGAAAGCGAAUCCAAUUCAAUAGAUGACACAACACAACCAGACGAAGACAAGCAACAAGAACAGGAGGAAGGAGAUAGGAGAACAAACAAUGGCGCAGCGACCGUUAGCCUCCCUGUUAUUAUGUUCUUAUCCUUUUGUUUACCUCGAAGAUUAGACGAAGAUACUGUCGCAUAAUGCCUACACCGUACACACACACAAUACACCACGCCUGACAACAUUACGAGGAGAAGAUGAGACAAGAUGGGAAGAGAAGAGGGAAGAGAAGAGAGGAGAGAGAAGAUGAAAAGAGAGAGGAGAUGAAAAGAGAGGAGAUGAAUAGAGAGAUGAGAAGAGAGAAGAUGAGAAGAGAUGCCUGAUUGGCGUACCGUAAAAAAGACAGAAACAACCUCAAAACAAUAACAAACUUUGGCGUUCUUGAAAUUCAGACUUUUUUACGGGGUCGAGAAAUGCUGAGACGACGUUUUAACGCUCCUGAGAGGCUAGUAAUGCGUAUUUGCAGGAAGAUAGCAUGGAAAUAACGUCAAUAAUAGCCUUCUUUUCGCUCUAACAUAAUUUUGGAGUUGAAAUAACGUAAUAAAAUAGCGUUCUUUUCGUUAUAACACAAUGCUAGGGGUCGAAAUAAAGUCAAAAUGGGGUUCUUCGUUAUGCAUUGUUUUGUGCGGUUGAGGGAUAGAACAUUUGGUAGUAUGAUUUUCUUUAAAAUACGACUAAAUUCUGCCUUCUAUAACGCAAAGGAAGCGGAAUAACGUCAAAAUUAGCGUUCUUCUUUAGUCUUGUGAGGUUGACGAAUAAGCGAAUGUCUUUUGUUAUGAAUUCACUUGUAAUACGACUUAGUACUCUUCUAUAAAGCUAAAUUCGCCUCAAAACUCCCUUCUAUAGCGUUAAGGACCCGAAAUAGCGCCAAAAAACAGCGUCAUUCUUCGUCUUUCUUUCUCCGUCAGUCUUGUGUGUGUGUGAGGGCCGAGGCAUGCAUGGGCGCACGUGUCCCCCCUCCCUGGGCCACUUGUACCCGAUUUGAAGUGUCUCGUAAAGUAUAGUUGACAAGGCGCCAUUUGACGUCACGCCGGGCACGACAGACACAGUUGAGCAUCGCCGCGCGCACCAUCCUUCAUAACGCGCAGAAAAGGAUGGAAAUAAGACUGAGAAUAACGCAAAAGACCCAAGACGAAAGAUAAUGAAGAAGAAGGAGAAAGGAUGAAAAUUAGGCUAAGAAUCACAAAAACGGACCUAAGACAUAAGAUAGAGAAAGAAGAUAGUUUGAAAAUUAGGCUGAGAAUCACGCAAAAGACCCAAGACGAAAGAUAUUGACCAAGACGAAGAGGAAGAAUAAGAGAAGAUGAAAAUAAGGCGGAGAAUCACAAAAACGGACCUAAGACAAAGGAUAGAGAAAGAAAUAGAGAAAGAAUAAGAGAAAGGAUGAAAUUAAGGCUGAGAAUCACAAAAAACGGACUAAGACCAAAGAUAAAGACGAAAAAUGAGAGAAAGGAUGAAAAUAAGACAAAAAUAUAGAUGACAUAAACCUAUAGAUGACACAAGAAGACGAAAAUAAACAAGAGAAAGAUGAAUAAGUAGAAGAAUUGACAUUGCUAUCUCCUCCGUUUGUCCAGUUACGCCAGAACAGGACCCUCGAGGAAAAUAUAUAGAUAACAUAAACCUAUAAAUGACACAAGAAGAAGAAAAUAAACAAAAGAAAGGAGAUGAGUGAGAAGAAGUAGAAGAAUUGACAUUGCUAUCUCCUCCGUUUGUCCAGUGAUGCCAGAACAGGCGUCUACCUUUGUCCUAUCGUUAGCCUAGUCAACUCUCCUCCUCCUCCUCCUCUUCUCUUCUCUCCUCCUCCUCCCUUCUUCGUCUGCCUCUUUCCGUUAUUUCUCCUUCACCUCCUUUAUUUUCCUCCUCUUUCUCGUCUUCUCCUCCUAUCCGGUUUCUCCCUUCCCUCGCUCCUUCGUUUCUCUUUUCCCGUUAUCUCUCUCUCUCUCUCUCUCUCUCUCUCUCUCUCUCUCUCUCUCUCUCUCUCUCUCUCUCUCUAAGUCCUGUUUUGUCUCCUUCCUGUCCGUUAUAUUUUCCUUCUUUUCCUCAUUCUUUUUCCUUCUCCUCUUUAUUUCUUUUUCUUCUUUCCCUUCGUUUCUGGUAAUUCCUUUCUUUACCUAUGGCUUAUUUUAUCUAUGUCGGGUAUCUACUUUCUUUAUUUUUGUCCUAUCUUCGUUUCUGCUUAUUCCCUUCUUUAUUCUCCACGUUAUGUCAAAUUUUCUCGUCUUUAUCCGGGUCUCUCUUCCUCUAUCUCCUUCGCUUCCAAACCAUUUCUUCACUGAGAACUUAUUUCGCAACGACACACGAGGAUACAGGACUACAAUGCCUCGUUUAGCCGGGAGCAAUCUUUCAAUUAAACCGGCUAACUUGGGUGCGGCGCGGAGGCAUAGCUACACCUCUUGCUAACUUUGGUACGUCACGAAGACAUACCUACAGCUCUGCAUAUCCCGUUUCUUAGCAGUGUCGAACUUCAGGGGCAAGAGAAUGAGGGGGGGGGAAGGAAGGGAGGGAUAGGAAGGGAAUCAGGGAGGAGAGAGAAGGAGGACGGAUAGAGAAGUAGAGAGAGAGGAUGGAAGAAAAGGAGGAGGAAAAGGGAAGGGAUAGGAAGGGAAACAGAGAGGAGAGAGAGAAGGAGGAUGGGUAGAGAAGUAGAGAGGAUGGAAGAAAAGGAGGAGGAAAAGGGAAGGGAUAGGAAGGGAACCAGGGAAGAAGAGAGGAGGAAGGGGAGAGAAGUAGAGAGAGAGGAUGGAAGAAAGGGAGCAGGAAGGAAAAGAAGGGAAAGGGGAAGAGAUAGGAAGGGAAGAAUAGGAGGAGGAGGAGGAAGAGUAGAGAAGUAGAGAGGAUGGAAAGGAAAAGUGGAAAAAGAAAAGGAUAAGAUAAAGAAAAAGAACUGAAGAAGAAAAGAAAGAAUAUGGAAAUGAAGAACCAGAAAAGGAAGAAGAGGAAGACAGAAUAAGGAAGCAAGUGAAGGAAAGAAGAGGAAAAAGAAUAAAAUAAAAGGACUGAAGAAGAAAAAGAAGACAUGGAGCCAAGCUAUACCGGACCUAACACUGAAUCGGACAUAGCGAGGGGUGUGUGUGACUGGAGGCGGGGCAAGGCAGCGGGGUGACACGUGCACUUCAAACCCACAGACCUCACCGCCCCGCGAAUCGCCCCACCGCCGGUCACACGCCGCGGUCUGCCCCUCACGCCCACCGCCAAGAUUGUAACUCAACCCUCACCACCAUCACCUUACCGGCCAGACUUAGCAACGGGAGCAGAUAGCAAGACCUCUGCACAAUACGUCGGAAAGGGAGACUGAUUUAGCUGUUAACUGAGAAUAUGGCGGUGAGACAUUAUAAGUGGGUUCUUCACCAUCAUCACCUUACCGGCCAGACGUAGCAACGGGAGCAGAUAGCAAUUAAAGACCUAUGCACAAUAUGUCGGAAAGGGAGACUGAUUUAGCUGUUAACUGAGAAUAUGGCGGUGAGACACUAUAAGGGGGUUGAUACUACGUUUCGACCAAGACAGCAACAUGUGCAGUUUACGUCAGGAAGAGAGAGGGAGAUUGAAAUUAGGUUAAGAAUCGGAUAUUUACACAACACACGGCGAUAGAAAGCAAGUAUAGAAGAGUGAGAAGAGGUUGAUAUAAUAGCGAAUGAACUGAGAAAUCUGCAAAAUAUGUCGGUGAGAGAGAGGGAAAGGUUGACACAGUGAUUAAUCAAGAAAUAUGGAAAAUAAGGAGGUAGGAGAUAGAGAGAGUGAACUUAAGUUACCAAUCAGAUACUCGAUAAAGACACGCACAGUACCAAUGGUGGCAUAAUAGAUACAUAUAGAUAGGUAGAUAGAUAUAGUCAAAUCACCUUCCCAAUCACAUAAUCACUAAGUCAGGACAUUAGAAACACCGAUAGCCAAUAAUUAAACCAAGACAUGCAACAAAUUAAGGUCAGAGAGAGGGAGAGAGAGAGAGGGAGGGAUUGGCAAUGCAGUGUUACCAACUCCACGACACUGGCCACGCGGGAACAUGCGGUAAUUUCAACAGCUGUGCAAUGGAGGGAGAGAGAGAGAGAGGAAAGAGAGGGAGGGAGGGAAGGGGGGAGGGAGGCGAGGGAAAGCUGCAGAAGGGAAACACAUUGAGGAGAGGAAACUUGGGAGGGAGGGAGGGAAGGGGUGGGUGAGGGAAAGCUGGAGAGAAGUGGAGGAGAGGAAACUAGGAUAGGAGAAAGGAGGGAAAGAAGAGAAAGGGAAGGGAAUGGAAAAAGAGGAGAGGCGGAGAAGUAGAGAGGACCAAAGAUGGAUAGAAAGGAAACUAGAAAAGGGAAAGAAGGGGAGAAGGAAAACAAGGAAAAGAAAAGAAAGGAGAAAGGAUAUGAUUGGAGGGCGAAAAUUUGACCAAAGAGGAGAAACACAGAAAAAGGGCGAUAACUAGAGAAAAGGAAGAGGGAAAGGAACACAAAAUAAGAGGAUGGUGAUAACUAGGGAAGAGAAAUAGGGAAAGGGAAACAAAAUAGGAGGAGGAGGAGGAGAAAUCAGGACAAAUGUAACACCGACACAGAAUGGUACAACCGCAAGCCACACUAACCAAGAAACGGGUCGAUAGGCGGUCAAUACAGCCUACCGCCGCCUGCCUCCACACACACACACACACACACACACACACGGGUGAAAAAGAAGGAAGAAAAGAAGAAAAAAGAAAAGGAAGAGGAGGAAAAAGAAGGAAAGAAGACAAAGGAGGAAGAGAAUAAAUUAAUAGAAAAAAGAUAAAGAAAAUAAUAGAAAAAAGUUAAAGAAAAAAGGGAAAGAAACAAAGAAAAAUAAAUAAAAGGAAAAAGAAGGAAAGAAGACAAAGGAGGAAAAGAAUAAAUUAAUAAUAGAAAAAGAUAAAGAAAAAGAAGAGGAAGAAAAAGAAGGGAAAGAAAAAGAAGAAACAAAGAAAAGGAAAACGAAAAAGGAGGAAAGAAGACAAAGGAGGAAAAGAAUAAAAUAAUAGAAAAAGAAAAGAGGAGGAAAAAGAAAAAGGGAAAGAAACACACAAAAUAAAAGAAAAACAGGAACAAGAAGGUCAUUCACACACGAUUAUAUGCAUGUUGUGUCUCUAAAGCUGUUUGUAUGCGGCUAAGGUUAGUCGUUCAAGCAGCAUCGACCAACCAAGUCACCCCACGGUAGCACUAUAAAUAAAAUACGCCCGCGGCACCAUCAGUAGGGUCGCCCGAAAAGCCCCACCCAAAUUAGCUUACCGGCACUACAGGAAAAGAUGGAAAGAAUUAUAAGUAAAAAAAAGAGUGUAAAGUGAGAGAAAUGACGGAUAUGUGAGUGUUUUGUCCCAUGGUUAACAAGACAUGGUUUCAACUUUCAACAGGUGUGUCAAUAGGGAAGUAGUCUCAGGUAUAGCCUUUAUUAUUUUCAUCGCCUAUUAUCGACUACUGCCCACAUCGAGAGAGGAACCAACCCUGGACCCACUGAACUCCGUCUGUCUGGCUGUCUGCGCCACGCUAACACUUUCACAUCGGGCAGGAAAUGAGAGGAGAGUCGGUGAGUUGGUAACGGUGGAGGAACAGGUUGGGCGAGAUGAGGAAGAAAAAGAAGGAAGAAAAGAAGAAACAAAGAAAAGGAAAGGGAAGAAAAGGAACACGAAGAAAACAAAAGGAGAAGAAUAAAUUAAUAGAAAAAGAUAAAGAAAAAGAAAAGGAGGAAGAUAGAAUAAGGAAGGAAAAGAAAAAGACUGAAAGAAGACAAAGAAGAGGAAAAGAAAGAAAAAAGGAAAAGAAAAUGAAGAUAAAGAAAACGAUAAACCUAAAAAGAGAAUCCAAAAGAACCCCCCCCCCCCCAAACUCCACUAAUUAGACUCAAUAUCCAGGUAAGUUACAGUCAACACAGGUAACCGGCUAUUAACAAGUCAGUCCCUUCCACAGGUAACCGCUUCCACGCGUCACACAGGUAAGAGGUGGCAGGUGUUAAUUAAGCUAUGCAGGUGGCUAUUAAUGCAUCGUUGUACCUGAUAGAUGCAAUCAUAACAGUUUAGUGGUUCAUUAGUGAUGCAGGUUCCACUUUCACAGGUAAAUGGAUGGAAAGGUAAAGGUUAAUGAGUUACCUGCUCGAUUUACAGGUAAGGCGCCAUGACCGAUACGGGAACGUUCUUAAUCAAUUAUCUACCUGUGCUAAUAUGACAUCCUUAUCCCACGUGUUCAUAGAGGUUGUGCUAGUAUUUCCAAGGAUAGUUUUAUGAGCCUAUUGAUAGUUUGACAAGGAAAGGAUUCGAUAAGGCUUUCGUAGGGCCUGUGUUAGUAUUUCCAAGGAUAGUUUUAUGAGCCUAGGGAUAGUUUGACAAGACUUCUCAACCAUUGAUAUGACACGCACAUUUGAUAAGGCUUUUGUAGAGCCUGUGUUAGUAUUUCCAAGGAUAGUUUUAUGAGCCUAGGGAUAGUUUGACAAGACUUCUCAACCAUUGAUAUGACACGCACAUUUGAUAAGGCUUUCGUAGAGGUUGUGUUAGUAUCUCCAAGGAUAGUUUUAUGAGCCUAGAGAUAGUUUGACAAGGCUUCUCAACCAUUGAUAUGACACGCACAUUUGAUAAGGCUUUCGUAGGGGUUGUGUUAGUAUCUCCAAGGAUAGUUUUAUGAGCCUAGGGAUAGUUUGACAAGACUUCUCAACCAUUGAUAUGACACGCACAUUUGAUAAGGCUUUUGUAGAGCCUGUGUUAGUAUUUCCAAGGAUAGUUUUAUGAGCCUAGGGAUAGUUUGACAAGACUUCUCAACCAUUCAUAUGACACGGACAUUUGACAAGGCUUUCGUAGGGGUUGUGUUAGUAUCUCCAAGGGUAGUUUUAUGAGCCUAGGGAUAGUUUGACAAGGCUUCUGCAGAAUGAACAUGAAAACCUACCCAUUAGAACACGAUUUAACCCCUUUGAGGACUUUGAAAAUUAGUUGUGUGAGCAGAAGGUGAGCAUAGUACUUAUACACGCAAAUUUGAUAAGACUUUCGUAGAGUUUGUAUAAGUAUAUAUCUCCACGUGUAGUUUUAUGAGCCUAGUGAUAGUUUGACAAGGCUUCCACACACGAGAACCCGACCCUUGGAUAUAGUUGACAAGGCUUUCGUAGAGGUUGUAUUAGUAUUCCCACGUGUAGUUUUAUGAGCCUAGUGAUAGUUUGACAAGGCUUCCACACACGAGAACCCGACCCUUGGAUAUAGUUGACAAGGCUUUCAUAGAGGCUGUAUUAGUAUUCCCACGUGUAGUUUUAUGAGCCUAGUGAUAGCUUGACAAGGCUUCCAUACAGGACAACCCGACCCUUGGAUAUAGUUGACAAGGCUUUCGUAGAGGUUAUAUUAGUAUCUCCACGUGGUUUCAUGAGCCUAGUGAUAGUUUGACAAGGCUUCCACAUAUGAGAACUCGCCUAAUCUCCAUUGCAGCCCUUGGUAAUUGCUGUUGUCAGGAGCCGAGCGCGUUGGAAAAUAAGGACCCAUGUCUCGUCCGGUCGUGGCUUAGUGAGGUAGAAAGGAAGUGGGGAAAAUGGAGGUGGAGGCAGGUGGCCGGAGGGGAAAGGAGGAGGGG